GACGAACGCUGGCGGCGUGCCUAAUACAUGCAAGUCGAACGCAGUGGGGACGGGUGAGUAACACGUGGGUAACCUCCCAUCAGAGGGGAUAACACUUGGAAACAGGUGCUAAACCGAUACUGAUGGAUGGACCCGCGGUGCAUUAGCUAGUUGGUGAGGUAACGGCUCACCAAGGCCACGAUGGCUAGCCGAACUUGAGGGGUGAACGGGCAAAACGGGACUGGGGAAAGGCCCAGAAUCCUUACGGGAGCAGCCGUAGGGGAACUUCGGCAAUGGGCGGAAGUGUGGAAGAACAAAGCCGGGGGAGUGAAGAAAGUUUUCGGGAUCUAAAACUCCGUUGUUGGGGAGGCGGUAACUAACCAGAAAGCGACGGCUAACUACGUGCCAGCAGCCGCGGUAAUAC
rnacentral:rRNA from 1 species